rnacentral:rRNA from 1 species
AGAGUUUGAUCCUGGCUCAGAUUGAACGCUGGCGGCACGCUUAACACAUGCAAGUCGAACGGUAACAUUAUUAAAAGCUUGCUUGCUUCUGAUGACGAGUGGCGGACGGGUGAGUAACGCGUAGGAAUCUGCCCAGUAGUGGGGGACAACCAGGGGAAACCCUGGCUAAUACCGCAUAAUCUCUACGGAGAAAAGAGGGCCUUUGAAAGCUCUUGCUAUUGGAUGAGCCUGCGUGAGAUUAGCUAGUUGGUGAGGUAAAGGCCUACCAAGGCGACGAUCUCUAGCUGGUCUGAGAGGACGAUCAGCCACACUGGGACUGAGACACGGCCCAGACUCCUACGGGAGGCAGCAGUGGGGAAUAUUGGACAAUGGGCGCAAGCCUGAUCCAGCAAUACCGCGUGUGUGAAGAAGGCCCUAGGGUUGUAAAGCACUUUAAGUAUGCUUAAUGUUAAUAACCUUGAGUCUUGACGUUAACUGCACAAGAAGCACCGGCUAACUCCGUGCCAGCAGCCGCGGUAAUACGGGGGGUGCAAGCGUUAAUCGGAUUUACUGGGCGUAAAGCGCGCGUAGGUGGUUUAGCAAGUUGGAUGUGAAAGCCCCGGGCUCAACCUGGGAAUUGCAUCCAAAACUGCUAAGACUAGAGUGUGGUAGAGGGAAGUGGAAUUCCGGGUGUAGCGGUGAAAUGCUAGAUAUCGGGAGGAACAUCAGUGGCGAAGGCGACUACCUGGACCAAUACUGACACUCAGACACGAAAGCGUGGGUAGCGAACGGGAUUAGAUACCCCGGUAGUCCACGCCGUAAACGAUGAAUACUAACUGUUGGGCGGGUUUCCGCUUAGUGGUGCAGCUAACGCGAUAAGUAUUCCGCCUGGGGACUACGGCCGCAAGGCUAAAACUCAAAGGAAUUGACGGGGGCCCGCACAAGCGGUGGAGCAUGUGGUUUAAUUCGAUGCAACGCGAAGAACCUUACCUACCCUUGACAUCCUUGGAAUCUUUCAGAGAUGGAUAGGUGCCUUCGGGAACUCUGAUACAGGUGCUGCAUGGCUGUCGUCAGCUCGUGUCGUGAGAUGUUGGGUUAAGUCCCGUAACGAGCGCAACCCUUAUCCUUAGUUGCUACCAUUUAGUUGGGCACUAGGGAGACUGCCGGUGAUAAACUGGAGGAAGGUGGGGACGACGUCAAGUCAUCAUGGCCCUUAUGGGUAGGGCUACACACGUGCUACAAUGGGCAGUACAGAGGGUCGCGAAGCCGCGAGGUGGAGCCAAUCUCAGAAAGCUGCUCGUAGUCCGGAUUGGAGUCUGCAACUCGACUCCAUGAAGUUGGAAUCGCUAGUAAUCGCGGAUCAGAAUGCCGCGGUGAAUACGUUCUCGGGCCUUGUACACACCGCCCGUCACACCAUGGGAGUAGGCUGUACCAGAAGUAGGUAGACUAACCUUCGGGGGGUCGCUUACCACGGUAUGGUUUAUGACUGGGGUGAAAACGUAACAAGGUAACC